UACGAAGGGGGCUAGCGUUGCUCGGAAUCACUGGGCGUAAAGCGCACGUAGGCGGACUCUUAAGUCGGUGGUGAAAUCCUGGAGCUCAACUCCAGAACUGCCUUCGAUACUGAGAGUCUCGAGUCCGAGAGAGGUGAGUGGAACUGCGAGUGUAGAGGUGAAAUUCGUAGAUAUUCGCAAGAACACCAGUGGCGAAGGCGGCUCACUGGCCCGGUACUGACGCUGAGAUGCGAAAGCGUGGGGAGCAAACAGG
rnacentral:rRNA from 1 species